AUUGAACGCUGGCGGCAGGCCUAACACAUGCAAGUCGAACGGUAACAGGAAACAGCUUGCUGUUUCGCUGACGAGUGGCGGACGGGUGAGUAAUGUCUGGGAAACUGCCUGAUGGAGGGGGAUAACUACUGGAAACGGUAGCUAAUACCGCAUAACGUCGCAAGACCAAAGAGGGGGACCUUCGGGCCUCUUGCCAUCGGAUGUGCCCAGAUGGGAUUAGCUAGUAGGUGGGGUAACGGCUCACCUAGGCGACGAUCCCUAGCUGGUCUGAGAGGAUGCCCAACCAAACUGGAACUGAGACACGGUCCAGACUCCUACGGGAGGCAGCAUUGGGAAAUAUUGCACAAUGGGCGCAAGCCUGAUGCAGCCAUGCCGCGUGUAUGAAGAAGGCCUUCGGGUUGUAAAGUACUUUCAGCGGGGAGGAAGGGAGUAAAGUUAAUACCUUUGCUCAUUGACGUUACCCGCAGAAGAAGCACCGGCUAACUCCGUGCCAGCCGCCGCCGUAA
rnacentral:rRNA from 1 species